AUUGAACGCUGGCGGCAUGCUUUACACAUGCAAGUCGAACGGUAACAGGCCUUCGGGCGCUGACGAGUGGCGAACGGGUGAGUAAUGCAUCGGAACGUGCCCAGAGGUGGGGGAUAACGCAGCGAAAGCUGUGCUAAUACCGCAUAUUAUCUGAGGAUGAAAGCGGGGGACUAAGCAGCAAUGUUUGGCCUCGCGCCUUUGGAGCGGCCGAUGUCAGAUUAGGUAGUUGUGGGGUAAAGGCCUACCAAGCCGACGAUCUGUAGCUGGUCUGAGAGGACGACCAGCCACACUGGGACUGAGACACGGCCCAGACUCCUACGGGAGGCAGCAGUGGGGAAUUUUGGACAAUGGGCGCAAGCCUGAUCCAGCAAUGCCGCGUGCAGGAAGAAGGGCCUUCGGUUGUAAACUGCUUUGUACGGUAACGAAAAGGACGUC
rnacentral:rRNA from 1 species